AGCUCUGAGGAGCUGCUGGGAUGGAAUUUUCUGUCCUGGCUUCGCUCUCCCCAUGGGGCAUCUUACUUAACUCUGCUCCUUUCCAUGCAGCGCAUCUCUUCCUUUGGACUUAGAAUGGCUGAUUUUACCCAGGGGGUUACCUCCAGCAAAAGAAAUGCAAAACACCUUUCUCAUGACCCUGAGGAGUUGUGGCACCUCCCACGAGGAAAGAAAGUGUAGCAAUGGAAAUAGAGAAACACAGAAACCUAUCUUGAGAUAACUCUUUCACAAUACACUGCCAUCUGGGUUUAUUGCAGACCAGGAGGGUUCACAGAAUCACAGAAUCAUUAAGGUUGGAAAAGACCUCCAAGAUCUCCAAGUCCAACCCCAAGCCACCUCCACUGUGCCCACUGAUCACGUCUCUCAGCACCACAUCCCCAUGGUUAUGGAACACCUCCAGGGAUGGUGACUCCACCACCUGCCUGAGUAGCCCAGUCCUGUUCUCUUCUGGAGAAGAAAUUUGUGCUAAUAUCCAACCUGAAGUAUGAAGGUUCAGUGAAAGGUUCAAUCCUUCCAACACAGCUGCCUAUCUGGGGAUGCUUCUCUUGGUCCUUUCCAGUCUUAGUAAAACAUCCCCACUGCUCACGGUCUUUCUGAUACUUUGGAGGGAAUUAUGUCUUUCCAUGUACUGCACACCUCUGGAAAAAAGUAGGACCCAUGCUCAAAGUUAACCUUUGGGUCUCCUGGUGUAGAAUUAAAGGCAAAAUCAGGUCUGGAUCACAAAAUAUGUAGGCACAGUACUUGUACAGAAAGCUUAGAACUCCCCAAGCCCUUGAAACCACAGUGCUCCAGCUUACGACUGCGAGCAAAGUUGAGCAUGGGACUGAGGAUUUUUUUUCUAAAUUAAACUUGGACUGGAUGUUUUGGUGAACUUGUCUCUUUUAUAAUAAAUAUUUUCCCCCU
ensembl:lncRNA